AUUGAACGCUGGCGGCAAGCCUAACACAUGCAAGUCGAACGAGUGGCGGACGGGUGAGUAAUGUCUGGGAAACUGCCUGAUGGAGGGGGAUAACUACUGGAAACGGUAGCUAAUACCGCAUACUAUCGGAUGUGCCCAGAUGGGAUUAGCUAGUAGGCGGGGUAAAGGCUAACCUGGGCGACGAUCCGUCACUGGUCUGAGAGGAUGAACGGUCACACUGGAACUGGGAAACGGUCCAGACUCCUACGGGAGGCAGCAGUGGGGAAUAUUGGACAAUGGGCGAAAGCCUGAUCCAGCCAUGCCGCGUGUGUGAAGAAGGCCUUCGGAUUGUAAAGCACGUUAAGUUGGGAGGCGUUACCAACAGAAUAAGCACCGGCUAACUUCGUGCCAGCCGCCGCGGUAAUAC
rnacentral:rRNA from 1 species